rnacentral:rRNA from 1 species
GAGUUUGAUCCUGGCUCAGAAUCAACGCUGGCGGCGCGCCUAACACAUGCAAGUCGCACGAGAAAGCGGGAGCAAUCUCGCAAGUAAAGUGGCGUACGGGUGAGUAACACGUGGAUCAUCUGCCCUGGAGUGGGGAAUAACGCUGGGAAACCGGCGCUAAUACCGCAUAUACCCGAGAGGGGAAAGCAGCAAUGCGCUCGAGGAGGAGUCCGCGGCCGAUUAGCUAGUUGGCAGGGUAAAAGCCUACCAAGGCUGUGAUCGGUAGCCGGCCUGAGAGGGCACACGGCCACACUGGCACUGAAACACGGGCCAGACUCCUACGGGAGGCAGCAGUGGGGAAUCUUGCACAAUGGGGGAAACCCUGAUGCAGCGACGCCGCGUGAGCGAUGAAGCCCUUCGGGGUGUAAAGCUCUUUCGGCAGGGAAGAUAAUGACGGUACCUGCAGAAGCAGCUGCGGCUAACUACGUGCCAGCAGCCGCGGUAAUACGUAGGCAGCAAGCGUUGUUCGGAGUUACUGGGCGUAAAGGGUGUGUAGGUGGCGCGCUAAGUUCCGUGUGAAAUCUCCCGGCUCAACCGGGAGGGUGCGCGGAAAACUGGCGGGCUAGAGUACGGGAUGGGAGAGUAGAAUUCCUGGUGUAGCGGUGAAAUGCGUAGAUAUCAGGAGGAAUACCGGUGGUGUAGACGGCUCUCUGGACCGUAACUGACGCUGAGACGCGAAAGCGUGGGGAGCAAACAGGAUUAGAUACCCUGGUAGUCCACGCCGUAAACGAUGGGCACUAGGUGUUCGGGGUAUUGACCCCCCGGGUGCCGCAGCUAACGCAUUAAGUGCCCCGCCUGGGGACUACGGCCGCAAGGUUAAAACUCAAAGGAAUUGACGGGGGCCCGCACAAGCAGCGGAGCAUGUGGUUUAAUUCGACGCAACGCGAAGAACCUUACCUGGGCUUGACAUGUUCCUGAUCUCCCUGGAAACAGGGCUUCCCUUCGGGGCAGGAUCACAGGUGGUGCAUGGCUGUCGUCAGCUCGUGUCGUGAGAUGUUGGGUUAAGUCCCGCAACGAGCGCAACCCCCGUCGCAUGUUGCCAGCAUUUAGUUGGGGACUCAUGCGAGACUGCCGGUGACAAACCGGAGGAAGGUGGGGAUGACGUCAAGUCAUCAUGCCCCUUAUGUCCAGGGCUACACACGUGCUACAUUGGCGCGUACAGAGGGCUGCGAUACCGCGAGGUGGAGCGAAUCCCUUAAAGCGCGUCUCGGUUCGGAUUGCAGGCUGAAACCCGCCUGCAUGAAGGCGGAGUUGCUAGUAAUCGCGGAUCAGCAUUGCCGCGGUGAAUACGUUCCCGGGCCUUGCACACAC